rnacentral:rRNA from 1 species
UACGGAGGGGACUAGCGUUGUUCGGAAUUACUGGGCGUAAAGCGCACGUAGGCGGAUUUGUAAGUCAGGGGUGAAAUCCCGGGGCUCAACCUCGGAACUGCCUUUGAUACUGCAAGUCUGAGUCCGGAAGAGGUGAGUGGAAUUCCUAGUGUAGAGGUGAAAUUCGUAGAUAUUAGGAAGAACACCAGUGGCGAAGGCGGCUCACUGGUCCGGUACUGACGCUGAGGUGCGAAAGCGUGGGGAGCAAACAGGG